UACGAAGGGGGGCUAGCGUUGUUCGGAAUUACUGGGCGUAAAAGCGCGCGCAGGCGGUCUUCCAAGUCAGUGGUGAAAGCCCGGAGCUCAACUCCGGAAUUGCCAUUGAAACUGUUAGACUUGAGGAUGAGAGAGGUGAGUGGAAUUCCCAGUGUAGAGGUGAAAUUCGUAGAUAUUGGGAAGAACACCGGUGGCGAAGGCGGCUCACUGGCUCGUAACUGACGCUCAUGCACGACAGCGUGGGGAUCAAACAGG
rnacentral:rRNA from 1 species